ACAGCUUGUUCUAGCCCUCCACUCGUUUAAUGAUUGAAGGGCUGCCUUUCCUUGAGAGAUCCCUUUAGGAGCUGCUACUGUUUCCUCUUGCUUCUGUCAGUGCUAGGGAGGGCAAUGGCAGCCCUUCAUAAUUUGCCGUAUUUGCUUGGCUUGUCCCUUCUGAGUCCCUUGGUGCUUCAGCUGGGCACUGAUCUCUUGCUGCAGAUGAUGCAUUGCAAACAUGAAUGCCCUAUUUGGUUCAAUGGGAAUGGACAUUGGGAGCAAUGGGAGCAGUCAUGUUUGUCUGCUUUGUCCUGUAGCCAGGCUGGGAGUGGUCUGGCUUUUCUUUUGCUACUUUGAAAUCUCCUGAGAGUCCUGUGGGGUGCUGCACUGAGAGAAAUUAUCUAACUCUCAAGCCCAAGUCUGAAACCAUUGGAUACCUGGUGCUAGGCCAUGGGCGGCUAGAUGAUGUACCAGUUCCUUGUGGCAGGAAUUCUGUCUUGGUGUCCAGCUACUUUUGGUGAAUAAAACUGAAGAGUGAGUUAUUACAGCACUGCUCUUUCUCAUUUUUAUUGUUGCCCUUUCUUUCCAGUGACAAGCUGUUUCCUGCAUUUGGGUUUGGAGCUUGGGUUCCUCCUAGCUGGCAGGGAUCCAAGGAAUAACGGAUGCCUACCACCAAAUUCUGCUGCAGAUCCAGCUCUACAGGCCAACCAACUUCUCUCCUAUUAUAAACCACGUGGCAAGGAUUGCAGCACACUUGCUGCAACAAGGAACUGCUGCAGUAAGUGCAAGGUCUUUAUUGUGGAUAUGCUUUGGGUUGAUGUUUCUGUUUUCCAUGUUGAUGGUUGAAUAGAAUGGAAUAGUAAAUUGAUGUUAACUUCCUUCCUUUGAAUUCCAAGUUUGGUCUUCUAUUGUCAGCCUACAGAGAGCAUGUCGAUGCUCUCUCUUGGUACAUACUCAUAUGAACCUAUACUGGGUAGACACAUUAGUUUCAUUGCUCAAGUGAUAUUUAUUUCUCUCCCAGUUUGCUGGCACUGUUCUUACUGUUGCGUUGUACAGGGGUGCUGUGUUGGCUGUUCAGCCAGUUGGACUGAGGCAGCAGUUGCCUUGCUCUAAUCUCUCUUACCAAGCUCUGUUACCUGUAGGGCAUGCACAUAGAAUAGAGUUUUGUGCUGAACAAUUUUGCUCUCAAGAAUGUUGAGAAAAAACCUCUAAGCAGCUACCAGAGGGCUUGACUGUCUGUCCCACCAUAGUGGCAUGGAGUCUGAGAACUGUUCAAUCACUGUGCUGAUUGCAGAGCAUGUGUGCUUCUCUAUGGUCAUGGGCUCAUUUGUGUGCUGGUGUGGCCAUGUUUGCUGUUAAAAUUUUACUUCAUUUCUUUAAAACUUAAUUAGUUUUGCUUAAGAAUGAAGGACUUGGAUGUACUGAUGAUUUUAGCUGAUUUCAUUCUGACAGACCAAUCAGAAAAUUUUGACAUAUUACUGUGCUACUUGUUUUAUCACCAAGCUCUGUCAGCAUUUUGGUGCUCCUUAAUAUUUGUAUGUAUAUCAAAUGUAUUUCCCAUGCUGUGAGCCACUUGGGCUAAGGAGAUCCAUUUCUUGCAUUUCUGAGGGUAUUUUUUAACUUUCCCAGCACUUUGGGGAAAUAUUCCUCAUUCUUGUAAUGUGUUAAAUAUCUCUACUUUUUCUUUCAGAUUUAAACCUAACUAUUUAAAUAAAGAAUCAGCAUUUGGGUACAGCAAUUUGUAUUAACUGUGCUUUGGAAUUGGAAAUUCAGUUUUCUCUUUUUCAUUGUGUUUGCCUCCUUUUAAGUCUGUAAAUAGCUGCUAUAAAACAGCAGUUGCUCAUUUCAAAACCAGGUACUAAACUUCAGCUUCUGGAAAAUUAUAGAAAUUUUAAACACUUUACCACACUAACACAUUGGUUUGAGGUACUCAUUUCUUUCUGGAAAAGCUCUUGUUCCCUUCAUGUUACCUCUAGAACCUCUCAUGGUUUUUAUCACUGCUGUGUUUUGGAUAUCUAAUACUUCUAAUGCUUCUAAUUAGACACACCCGAAUUAAAUUAUCGAUAAAAAAAGAACCAAGGCUUUUUGAGUUAUACUGCAGGGAUAUUAAAUAUCUCUAGCUUUUCUGAACGCCAGUCAGUAAAACAGCACCUAUCACUGAAUUUCAUAUGCAGCUGUGUUUAUUUACUAGUACUUUUUGUCUCUAGUACUUUUUGCCUAUUGAUGUAACUGUUCUUUAUAAAUUGAACUUAAUACUUUCUCUUUUUUCUAGUACAGAGAAAAUUGGAAGUGCACAGUGAAAGUCAUUAGGCAUAGGAAAAAUGUGAAUGAACAUAAGUUUCUUUAAUGUUCUGGUUUUGUCUCAUGCACAGCAACAUUUCAUUUCUUUCUUAGCAUAUGGGAGUGCUCUAUCUGCCUUCAGUUAUGUGAGCUCUGAUGUUGAAAUACCUAACAGAACUGAGCUCUGAUGUUGAAAUACCUAACUGUAUGCUUUCUCAUGUUUUUCAGCAAUACUUUUAUCUUGCUGAUCAUCACAGAUGGAGAGAUCACUCAUCUAGACCAAACUAGGCAAGCCAUUGUUAAAGAGCCAGCUGCACAAGACAUUGUCCAGUUUGUGCCUUUCCAACAGUUCAAAAAUAUAUGUUGUUUUUUUUUUAAUUCAGAAGAGUCCCAUUGCCAGGAUGUAUGCAUCCUAAAAAUGACCACGGUCUUGACAAGGCAGCAAGCUGCAUGCUCAGAGGACAUGCCUGUGCAGCUUGUUCCCAGUGAGAGUUGAGAUGUUGGCUUCUGUGUUCAAAGCUGUAUCUUGCUGUCUUGCCAUUCUUGAGAGCCUUCAUUGUAUAAUUGAUUUUGCAUACUAUCUCUUGGCUAUUGCAGGCUUAAAGGGGAUGUUCUCUGUCCUGGGAUAUGAACAUUUAGCAGAGAACUGAGAUCAUACUGUCAGUCUCUGAUGCUGAGGCCCAUGAGUGAUUGAAGUUGAGGUCAGUCUGCUGCUGUCGAAAGCAGUUCUGUCACACACCAGCUCCCUGACUUCCACUGUUGGCAUUGGUGUUCAUGCAUUUUGCAUAGUCUAUUUGCUUGAGUGAUUCAAAUGAAAACCCAAAAUGAGAGACCUUGCUAGUGGCUAGGGCAGUUUUCACUCAGACUGGGGCCACAUAAGGGCUAUGUGAGUCUGAGGUUGAAGUGAGAACAAGUGGUUUUUCAUCAGCAGUGUUCACUGAGACGGACUGGAAAUGCUCCUAAAGCUGUAGCAAGCAAUUCUUAAAACAGAAUGAGCAGGGGAGGUGUUCUGAAUUCUCUAAGAGAGUGUUUCACUAGGCUACCAAAUCUGUUCUUUGUGGUAUUUUUGAUUUAUUCUCCCCAUUCUCCUUUCAGGCUUCCCAGGAAGCACUUUCCCAGAUAGUUCUGGCUGAAGUGCCCAAGCAGCUAGUGUCAUUAUAUGAAUGGCUGGGAUGGCCACCCCUGAAACUGCCAGAAAUCAAGGUGAUGUAGAUUCAGCUAGCCCUGGCUACCUGUAGCUUUGGGGUGAAGGAGAGCUGCUUGCAGCCACACUCUCUCUUGCACACUGUGGAUGCUCGGUGCCUUGAGAUUGCACCAGUCACACCACUUCUUUCACCUAUUUGCGCUGAGACUUUGAUCUUUCAAAGAUUUCUAUUGAAAGAAAUGUAAAUACAGAAAAACCUCCAAGUGCUGGAAGUUUUUGUCACAGAAAGAUUGACCUUGUUUGUUUUCCACCUUGCAACAGCGACACUUUGUGAUACAUCACACUGCACAUAGUUGCUUGACACAGCCCAUCUGCUGCUCACUAUGAGAGUAGGCCUCUGAACUGAGCUGCUCUAGUGCUGACCUUGGUGAUAGAAGUGUUGCACCUGUGUUUGCUGUAAUGACACUUAUCAUGUGCUCCUGGAUAGGUGUCUUUUAUCAAGCUGCCUUUCAAAUGGAUGUGACCAAAGACUGUUGGUUGGAUGCCUGAGGUAGUUCCUGUUGUCUUCAUAAAGUGCCAGUAUAUUUUUUUUAUGUUUCAGUGACCAUACCUUUCUGACCAUACCUUUCUUUUUAAUCACAUUUUUCUAUUAGCAAAAUUUCUUUCUGUGAUGAACUCCUGCUUGAAGCCAUUGUUAUAGUUCAAGAACACUGCACUUGGCUUAUUUAUGUGGGUUAAAUGAGAAUUAAUCAUUAAUUAAUGGAAUUGGGGUGAGAUUAAUGAGUCAUAUUAAUGUGACUUUAAAAAUCCUGUAGAUGGAAACACUGAAAUGAAGAUGCUUGGAGUGAAUUCUUUAUAUCACACAAGUUACAAAGCGAAGAAGUAACUUUUCUGUGGAAGUCCAAGGAGGUGCCACCUCGGUAGUGUGAAGUGUGCAUUACAUGAUCUGGGGACUGUAGAACAGGCAUAUGAUAGCAAAGCACAAAUGUUUUGAGGAAGUUGGUUUAUUUCAAAGUAGAGACAAAGAAGCUUGGGGUUGUCAUUGCACUACAAGUUUCAACACUUUCAGUUAUAUAAAUAAACAUCCUACUUAGACUUAGAUAACAUGUCUGGACUCUGAUUUCCUUCCUGGACUUUUCCCUUUGUUUUCCAGCAAUGUGGAUGGUGAUGUUUCAGUAUCUGAGUGAGCCUAGGUUCAGUGAGAUCCAAAUAAAAAGCAGAGCCAGUUGUCCAUCAUUGUUAAUUUUGUUCCCCUUUAAGACUGCUGAAUCCCACAGCCCUUUCUGCAGCAAAAUAAGAUGUUCCUUUACUGUGAAGUUGCAAAAUGUAUUCUCACCAUCUUCUGGUUUAUCUACCUGAUAAACCAGAAGAUGGUGAGAAUACUUUGACAGACUGCAUCUGUGAUCCAGGCCCUGAAACUUAAAUUACAAGCUUGAGUGAAAGCAGAACUUGGGGUUGAAUUCCCAGAAUUCACAGAAUGACUAGGUUGGAAGAGACCUUCAAGAUCAUCAAGACCAACCCAUGCUCUAACACCUCAACUAAACCAUGGCACCGAGUGCCACAUCCAGGCGUUUUUUUAAACACAUGCAUGGAUGGUGACUCCACCACCUCCCUGGGCAGGCCAUUCCAGUACUUUAUCACUCUUCAGUAAAAAACUUUUUCCUAAUGUCCAACCUAUAUUUCCCCUGGUGCAGCUUAAGACUGUGUCCUCUGGUUCUGUUAGUUGUUGCCUGGAGAAAGAGACCUACCCCCACCUGGCUACAACCACAUUUCAGGAAGUUGUAGAGAGUGAUAAGGUCACCCUCAAGUCUCCUUUACUCCAGACUAAACAACCCCAGCUCCCUCAGUCAUUCUUCACAGGGUUUCUAUUCCAAACCCCUCAGCAGCCUUGUUGCCCUCCUCUGGGCGUGCUCAAGUGUCUCAAAGUCCUUCCUAAACUGAGGGCCCAGAACUGGACGCAAUACUCAAGGUGGGUCCUCACCAGUGCCCAGUGCAGGGGCAGAAUGCCCUCCCUGCUCUUGCUGGCCACACCACUCCUGAUCCAGGCCAGGAGCCAUGGGCCUUCUUGGCCACCAGGGCACACUGCUGGCUCACGUUCAGCUGGCUGUCAACCAGUAACCCCAGGUCCCUUUGGUCUGAGCACUGUCCAGCCACACUGUCCCCAGCCUAUAACGUUGCAGGGGGUUAUUGUGGCCAAAAUGCAGAACUGGGCACUUGGAUUUGUUAACUUUAUCCUAUUGGACUCUGCCCAUCCGUCCAACCGUUCCAGGUCUCCCUGCAGAGCCCUCCUACCCUCCAACAGAUGGACGCUCCCAGCUUGGAGUUGUCUGCAAAUUUACUAAUGAGAGACUGAAUACCCUCAUCCAUGUCAUCAAUAAAAAUAUUGAACAGAGCUCGCCCCAGAACAGAGCCCUGAGGGACACCCCUGGUGCCUGGCUGCCAGCUGGAUACAGCACUGCUCACUGCCACUCUCUGGGCCAUGCAGCCAGUUCUGAGCCCAGCACAGAGUGCUCCUGUCCCAGCCCUGGGCUGCAGCUUUUCCAGGAGUGUCAAAGGCCUUGGUGAAGUCCAGAUACACAUCAACAUCUACAGCCUUUCCUGCAUCCACCAGGAGGGUCACCUGAUCACAAAAGGAGACCAGGUUGGUCAAACAUGACCUACCCCUCCUAAACCACUGCUGGCUGGGUCUGAUACCCUGGUAGUCCUGCAAGUGCUGCAUGAUGACACUCAGUAUAAACUGUUCAAUUACCUUACAGGGUACUGAGGUCAGGCUGAGUGGUCUGUAAUUACUUGGAUCCUCCUUCCCACCCUUGUUGUGAAUGGGUGUCACAUUGGCCAGCUUCCCGUCAUCUGGAACCUCACUCGUGAGCCAGGACUGCUGGUAAAUGGUGGAGAGCGAGUUCAUAAGCUCAUCUGCCAGCUCCCUCAUCACCCUGGGGUGGAUCCUAUUUGGUCCCAUGUAUUUAUGAAUAUACAAGCUGCUCAGCAGUUCUCUGACUGCCUCCUCUUAGAUAAUGGGGGGACCAUUCUGCCCCCUGAUGUCAUCAACCAAUCUAAGAGGACAGCUGUCCUGAAGGCAAGUCGUCUUCUCACUAAAAACUGAGGCAAAGAAGGUGGUAAACACUUCUGCCUUCUCUUAGUCUGCAGUUAUUAAGUUCCCUUUCAGAUCUAAUAAAGAAUAAAGCUUGGUCUUACCCUUUCUUUUACAAUGGAUAUAUUUGCAAAAACAUAUUUUAUUAUCCUUUACAGAAGUUGCCAUUUUAAGUUCAAACUGACCUUUGGCCUCCCUAAUUUUUUUUUCCCACAUGCUCUAGCAAGCCCCUUAAAUACUUCCUGAGACACCUGACCCUCCUACCAAAGAUGAUACAUCUUCUUUUUAUUCCUAAGCUCCUCCAAAACCUCCUUGCCCAUUCAGGCUGGACAUUUGCCUCAUCAACUCAUCUUUCGGCACACAGGGACAGUCGGUUCCUGUGCCCUCAAGAUCUCUGUUUCGAAGCACACCCACCUUUCAUGAAGUCCUUUUUUUUUAAGGGUGCUUCCCAAGGAACUCUCUGAAUAAGUCUCCUAAGUAGGCCAAAGUCUGCCCUCCGGAAGUCCAAUGUAAAAAUAUUAUUGGUGUUCCUCCUCAUUUCACCAAAUAUCAAGAAUUCUAUAAUUUCAUGAUCACAGUGCCCCAAGCGACCUCUAACCACAUCUCCCACCAGCCCACCUCUAUUUGCAAACAGCACAUCUAACACAGUCCCUCUCCGGUGGGCUCAUCCACUGGCUGCAACAAAAAGUUGUCCUCCACACACUCUAAAAAUUUCCUGGACUGCCUUUUUUCAGCUGUAUUAAGUUCCCAGCAGAUCUCUGGCAAAUUGAAGUCUCCUACAAGAACAAGGGCUGAUGAACCUGAAAUUCUAGCUGUUUAUAGAAUAAGUUGUCCACCUCUUCUUCCUGGUUGGGUGGACGAUAACAGACUCCAAGUAGGAUGUCAGCCUUGUUGGCCUUCCCCCUAAUUCUUACCCAUAGGCUUUCAGCUUCAUCGUCAUUAGUUUCAAUACCUAUGGCAACAAAAGCCUCCCUAAUAUAAAGCGCCACCCCUCCACCUCUUCUCCCUUUCCUGUCUCUCCUGAAGAGCUUGUAGCCAUCCAGUGCAGCACUCCAGCCAGGUGAGCCAUCCCAUCACGUUUCCCUGAUGGCAAUUAUAUCACAGCUCUGCUGCUGGACCAUGGCCUCCAGCUCUUCUUGUUUGUUACCCAUGCUAUGUGCACUGGUAUACAUGCACCUCAGCUGGGCUGCUGAUUUCACCCCAACUCAGGCUUACCACCCUUGGGUCUGCAUUCAGACAGCGCAGAUGCAUCUCCUUCCCCUUUCAGACCUAGUUUAAAGCCCUCCCAACAAGUUCUGCCAGUUCAUGAGCUAAAAA